CUCCAUGGCAUGUGGGAUCUUCCCAGACCGGAGCACGAACCCGUGUCCCCUGCAUCGGCAGGCGGACACUCAACCACUGCGCCACCAGGGAAGCCCUCCCAGGAUUUAUUCUUGAUCCCAUGAAAAUGAGAACAACAGAGCAAAACUGUGACGGAAGAAAAUAAAGAUGGCCAAAUGUCUGUUACAAUAUAUAUCUAAGUGUGCUGAAAAAUCGGGAAGGAUACACUCCAAACUGCUAAUGGAAGGUUAUGCUGGAUUGUCUGGACGGGCUCAAUGUAAUCACAAAGGUGGAAGAGUGAGGCAGAAGAGAGAGAACCAGAGAGAUGGCAGCAUGAGAUGGACUUGGCUCGACAUUGUUGGCUUUGAAGAUGGAGCGAGCGCCAAGGAAAGCGGCUGGCUUCUAGCAGCUGAGAAAGGCAAGGAAGCAAAACCUUCUCUAGAGCCUCUAGAAAGGAAUGCAGUCCUGCAGACACCUUGGUUUUAGCCCAGUGGGACCCAAGUUGGACUUCUAUUUGACAGAACUAUAAGAUAAUAAAUUUGCUGUUUUAAGCCGAUAAGUUUGUGGUAAUUUGUUACGGCAGCAAUAGGAAACAAAAGCACCAGGACACCUAGAGAGUCCACGUUGUAGGUGAGACUCCACUUUACUGCUGGAAUCAACCUCCAGACGACAUGUGAGAUGAUUCCAGUUGCUCCAGGCUUUGUGAGUUUCCCAGCCGAGGCCCCAGAGAAGAGCAGUACCCACUUCGCCUUGCCCAAAUUCCUGACUCACAAAAUCUAUGAGUAUAAUAAAAUGAUUGUUUUUAUGCCA